rnacentral:rRNA from 1 species
CCGUUAUAACCGGCGAUGUCCGAAUGGGGAAACCCAGUGCAAUUCGUUGCACUAUCGUUAACUGAAUACAUAGGUUAACGAGGCGAACCGGGGGAACUGAAACAUCUAAGUACCCCGAGGAAAAGAAAUCAACCGAGAUUCCCCCAGUAGCGGCGAGCGAACGGGGAGCAGCCCAGAGUCUGAAUCAGCUUGUGUGUUAGUGGAACGGUCUGGAAAGUCCGACGGUACAGGGU